rnacentral:lncRNA from 1 species
AUGUGGGGCAUUCUAUGUACAAAUCUGGAUUUUCCUCUCCUGAAGAGCCAGAAGCUCUGGAACCCCAGGCCUUUAUCCUCUCAGCAGCAACUGGCAGAAGGCCUUAGGGCAGGCCUGGGCUCUCUGAUCCCACAGUCCCCAGGACUCUCCACGGCACCCCACUCGAUGCCUGCAGGCUGUCGGUUCGAGGCCCCUGCUGGAGUGUCUGGGGUACAGAGGGGGGUGGCCCAGGCCUUCUCCCAUCCAUUGCCCUGUAGCCUUUCACUGAGGAGGACUUUGGGGUCUGGGAGCUCUGGGUUUGGAGGUGAGGUUAACAGUGGCCUCUGGAAGGGUGGGAACCUGCCUGCCACUGCGAGCAGGCCUAGCUGGGCACUCCCUGCUGUGGUUGGGGGGGUUGGGGCCUGGGAUGCGGUGGGGCUGGCGGGGGGGUGCGUUGAGUCAAACUCAGAGCCCAGGGCCCAGCUCUGGAAGCCUCCAAGACCCUGCCACUGCCCACCCCAUAGGUGCCCCCCCCUCCCAAGGGCUCAGGCCACUGACAGGAGGCCUUGUCUCAGGCAAAGGGAGAAGGUGCAGAGAAACCAGCCAGAGGGGGGCCUGGGCCUGUGGGCAGAGGGUCAGUCCUGGAGGGCCAGGCAGAGUUCGUGGAAGAGGCCACACCCUG